UACGUAGGUGGCAAGCGAUACUCGGAAUCACUAGGCGUAAAGCGCAGGUAGGCGGUGCGAUAAGUCUCUUGUGAAAAGCUCCCCGGCUUAACUGGGAGAGGUCAAGGGAAACUGUCGUGCUCGAGUGUGGCAGAGGAAACUAGAAUUCCCCGGUGUAGCGGUGAAAUGCGUAGAUAUCGGGAGGAAUACCUAUGGCGAAAGCAGGUUUCUGGGCCGUCACUGACGCUGAUCUGCGAAAGCUAGGGGAGCAAACAGG
rnacentral:rRNA from 1 species